rnacentral:rRNA from 1 species
UACGGCCAUACCCCUGAACGCGCCCAAUCUCAUCUGAUCUCGGAAGCUAAGCAGGGUAGGUCCUGGUUAGUACUUGGAUGGGAGACUUUAUAUGUAAGUAAAUAUAUACAUAU